ensembl:lncRNA
AAACAUCCUUCUUACUUUGGUACAUGGUGCAUCAGUGUGAAAAACAGGAGCUAUCCAAGAAGAAGGACAUCUCUACUCUGAUGAAGUAUUGCUAUUUGAGGUGAGGACCAACACAAGAUGCUGUGGAAGAGUGGACCAGUGGGAACAAGCCAUAUUCCCUUAUACAUCUGGAAUGGCAGCUUCCUACUUGUUGAGGAUGGACAGCAGAGUAAAUAUAUAACAGAAUGCUGGCUUUUUAUCUCUGGAAAAACCACAGCUUUGGUGUAUCUUCACUUGUUCAGCCUGACUUCUCUGCCUGGGGGAGACACCUUCUCUUAUGACUUGGCACGGUGUGAGCCCAGCAGAUGGACAGAAGCAGCCAAAAGCCAGUGCUCUAUGUACAUUUAGGGUGUUUGCCAACAGCAGGAUUCUCAAACACGAAUUUUUAACCAGCUGUCCAUCCUAAAAUGAUAACUUUAUCUUUAAACUGAUACAACACUACUAAUUCAGCUUUGGGAUAUUUCUACUUCAAAAAUUAGUAACUGCCAAAGUGUGCAAGGAAAGCUUUCAUUUUGGCUUCGUUUGGGUUUCAUAUGUGUUUUUAUUCUGUGGGGCAUAUGAGCUGCAACAUGGAAAUAUACAUAAGACUUGAGUCUUUGGACACUGUGUCCUGGACAUUUUCUCCUGUUUGAUCCUGUGCAAAUAUCCCUUACUAAACACAGCUGAAACUGCUGGGACAUGUUUGGAAGCCAGGCCAAGUUGAAUGGUGUCAUUUCACCACAAAUAGACAUAUUCAUGCAGCAGACAAAGGCAGUUUAAAUUUCACUGUCCACCGAGGACAUCAACCCCUCCUAACUGUCAUAUUCAACAGGAUCAAGGGGGAUAAAAUGUUAGGAUUAUUCCCAAUUUCCUGAAGAUACUACAAAAAUCUAGCUGCUCCUCCCAAAGUCUUUUUGUCUUUUGAGUCAAAGUAUUGUGUACUGAGCCUGUUUGGUUCUGUCAAGAAGAGCAGGAGUUUUUUAUUCUCUUUAAACAUCUGUGAUAAAUAUUUGAUCUGUGACAUUCUGGUUCUGGGGAAUAUCACCAACAGGGAUGCUAAAAAAAAUAUUUUGAUUGUAAGCAGAGUGCUGCUAAGCAUUUUUGGAAGAAGAGAUGCUUUUCAAAGAAGCACAGUUUCCACAGAAGGUAAUAAUUUAUGUGAUCAGAGGAGCUGUGACUUUUGUGCCCUGUAUUCUCAUCUUCUUGCUUCCAGUGCUUGGUGACACUUGUCCUGUCACCUACUCUCUUCCUACUCUGAUAUAAUCACUUAUGAAAUAUUGCAAUAAUUUUAAUUACCAUUUAAAGGAACUUGUUGAGAAUUAACUCUCAUUUACACAUGCUUUGGGGUUCUAGCUGGAAAAUGCUAGCAGAAUGGUGUACAGUGUUUGAUGAGAGUGAAUUCAUAUUUCUGUUUUCAUGGAAUGUUUGUCAUAACAGUCUAUCCACGAGGACUACUGAGAAGUAUAUUUUAUACCUGUAAUAUAAAUCAUGACUGGGUAAUACUAAGCCUACAGCACAGAAUAUUUCAAUAAAAAUUAAGAACAUUUGAUAACCUGGA